UGGGGAAUUUUGGACAAUGGGGGAAACCCUGAUCCAGCAAUGCCGCGUGAGUGAAGAAGGCCUUCGGGUUGUAAAGCUCUUUUGUCAGGGAAGAAACACCGGCUCUAACACAGUCCGGGAAUGACGGUACCUGAAGAAUAAGCACCGGCUAACUACGUGCCAGCAGCCGCGGUAAUACGUAGGGUGCAAGCGUUAAUCGGAAUUACUGGGCGUAAAGCGUGCGCAGGCGGUUAUACAAGACAGGCGUGAAAUCCCCGGGCUUAACCUGGGAAUGGCGCCUGUGACUGUAUAGCUAGAGUGUGUCAGAGGGGGGUAGAAUUCCACGUGUAGCAGUGAAAUGCGUAGAUAUGUGGAGGAAUACCAAUGGCGAAGGCAGCCCCCUGGGAUAACACUGACGCUCAUGCACGAAAGCGUGGGGAGCAAACAGGAUUAGAUACCCUGGUAGUCCACGCCCUAAACGAUGCUGACUAGUCGUUCGGGAUUUACAUCCUGAGUAACGUAGCUAACGCGUGAAGUCAGCCGCCUGGGGAGUACGGUCGCAAGAUUAA
rnacentral:rRNA from 1 species